GACGAAAGUCUGACGGAGCAACGCCGCGUGUAUGAUGAAGGUCUUCGGAUUGUAAAGUACUGUCUUUGGGGAAGAACGGUGGCUUUGAAAAUAUUGAGGCCACAUGACGGUACCCAAGGAGGAAGCCCCGGCUAACUACGUGCCAGCAGCCGCGGUAAUACGUAGGGGGCAAGCGUUGUCCGGAAUUAUUGGGCGUAAAGGGCGCGUAGGCGGAUUGUUAAGUCCGGUGUGAAAGAUCAGGGCUCAACCCUGAGAGUGCAUCGGAAACUGGGAAUCUUGAGGACAGGAGAGGAAAGUGGAAUUCCACGUGUAGCGGUGAAAUGCGUAGAUAUGUGGAGGAACACCGGUGGCGAAGGCGACUUUCUGGACUGUAACUGACGCUGAGGCGCGAAAGCGUGGGGAGCAAACAGGAUUAGAUACCCUGGUAGUCCACGCCGUAAACGAUGAGUGCUAGGUGUAGAGGGUAUCGACCCCUUCUGUGCCGCAGUUAACACAAUAAGCACUCCGCCUGGGGAGUACGG
rnacentral:rRNA from 1 species